rnacentral:rRNA from 1 species
UAUAACAGCUAUAAUAUAUGUGAGUUUGAUAUCCUACUUGGAUAACUGUGGUAAUUCUAGAGCUAAUAUAUGCACCAAAGCUCCGACCUUGUGGGACGAGCGCAUUUAUUAGACCAAAACCAAUCGGGCUUGCCCGUUGUUUGGUGACUCUGAAUAACUUAGCUGAUCGUAUGGUCUUGUACCGACGACGCUUCACUCUAGUGUCUGCCUUAUCAACUUUUGACUGUAUGUUAUGUGCUUACAGUGGUUGUAACGGGUAACGGAGAAUAAGGGUUCGACUCCGGAGAGGCAGCCUGAGAAACGGCUACCACAUCCAAGGAAGGCAGCAGGCGCGCAAAUUACCCACUCUCAGUUCGAGGAGGUAGUGACGAAAAAUAACGAGGAUGUACUCUAUGAGGCCAUCUAUCGGAAUGGGUACAAUUUAAACCCUUUAACGAGGAUCUAUGAGAGGGCAAGUCUGGUGCCAGCAGCCGCGGUAAUUCCAGCUCUCAAGGUGUAUAUCGCCAUUGCUGCGGUUAAAAAGCUCGUAGUUGGAUCUGCGCCUUAGGACUUGGUCCGCCCAUUGGGUGUGUACUAGGCUCCUAGGCUACAUUUGCUGGUUUUCCCUUCGUGGCCUUCAUCGGUCGCGUUGGGUGGCUAGCGAGUUUACUUUGAAAAAAUUAGAGUGCUUAAAACAGGCGUAUUGCCUGAAUACUCCAGCAUGGAAUAAUGGAAAAGGAUUUUGAUCCUAUUUUAUUGGUUUUCGGGAAUGAAAUAAUGGUUAAGAGGGACAGACGGGGGCAUUCGUAUCGCUGCGUGAGAGGUGAAAUUCUUGGACCGCAGCGAGACGUCCUACUGCGAAAGCAUUUGCCAAGAAUGUUUUCAUUAAUCAAGAACGAAAGUCAGAGGUUCGAAGGCGAUCAGAUACCGCCCUAGUUCUGACCGUAAACGAUGCCAACUAGCGAUCCGCCGGUGGUAAAUCUGCCCUGGCGGGGAGCUUCCCGGAAACGAAAGUCUUCCGGUUCCGGGGGAAGUAUGGUUGCAAAGCUGAAACUUAAAGGAAUUGACGGAAGGGCACCACCAGGAGUGGAGCCUGCGGCUUAAUUUGACUCAACACGGGAAAACUCACCCGGCCCGGACACCGUGAGGAUUGACAGAUUGAUAGCUCUUUCUUGAUUCGGUGGUUGGUGGUGCAUGGCCGUUCUUAGUUGGUGGAGCGAUUUGUCUGGUUUAUUCCGAUAACGAGCGAGACUCUAGCCUAUUAAAUAGUGAAUGGAUAGCUUGGUCCAUAAUACUUCUUAGAGGGACAAGCGGUGUUUAGCCGCACGAAACUGAGCAAUAACAGGUCUGUGAUGCCCUUAGAUGUCCGGGGCUGCACGCGCGCUACACUGGCGGAAUCAGCAUGCGUGUUUCCAUCGCCGAAAGGUGUU